GAUGAAGAAGUAGCGAAAUGCGAUACGUAAUGUGAAUUGCAGAAUUCAGUGAAUCAUCGAAUCUUUGAACGCACAUUGCGCCUGCCAGCACUCUGGCAGGCAUGCCUGUUCGAGCGUCAUUUCAACCAUCAAGCCCUAGGCUUGCGUUGGAGCCCUGCGGCUGCCGCAGGCCCCUAAAAGCAGUGGCGGGCUCGCUAUCACACCGAGUGCAGUAGAUUACUCUUCGCUCAGGGCGUGUGGCGGGUUCCAGCCGUGAAACCCCCUACUUCUCAAGGUUGACCUCGGAUCAGGUAGGAAUACCCGCUGAACUUAAGCAUAUCAAUAAGCGGAGGA
rnacentral:misc_RNA from 1 species